rnacentral:rRNA from 1 species
GUAGGGGGCAAGCGUUGCUCGGAAUUACUGGGCGUAAAGGGUGUGUAGGUGGCUGAGUAAGUCAAAGAUGAAAUCCCGAAGCUCAACUUCGGAAUUGUCCUUGAAACUGUUCAGCUUGAGGAUAGUUGAGGAGAACGGAAUUCCCGGUGGAGCGGUGAAAUGCGUAGAUAUCGGGAGGAACACCAGAGGCGAAGGCGGUUCUCUAAGCUAUUCCUGACACUGAGACACGAAAGCUAGGGGAGCGAACGGGAUUAGAUACCCCGGUAGUCCUAGCUGUAAACGAUGAGCACUAGAUGUUUCCCGUUUUAUACGGGAGUGUCGAAGCUAACGCGUUAAGUGCCCCGCCUGGGGAGUACGGUCGCAAGGCUG